AGAGUUUGAUCCUGGCUCAGGAUGAACGCUGGCGGCGUGCCUAACACAUGCAAGUCGAGCGCGUCUGAUUUGAUGCUUGCAUUGAUGAAAGAUGAGCGGCGGACGGGUGAGUAACGCGUGGGUAACCUGCCCUAUACACAUGGAUAACAUACUGAAAAGUUUACUAAUACAUGAUAAUAUAUAUUUACGGCAUCGUAGAUAUAUCAAAGUGUUAGCGGUAUAGGAUGGACCCGCGUCUGAUUAGCUAGUUGGUGAGAUAACUGCCCACCAAGGCGACGAUCAGUAGCCGACCUGAGAGGGUGAUCGGCCACAUUGGAACUGAGACACGGUCCAAACUCCUACGGGAGGCAGCAGUGGGGAAUAUUGCACAAUGGGCGCAAGCCUGAUGCAGCAACGCCGCGUGAACGAUGAAGGUCUUCGGAUCGUAAAGUUCUGUUGCAGGGGAAGAUAAUGACGGUACCCUGUGAGGAAGCCCCGGCUAACUACGUGCCAGCAGCCGCGGUAAUACGUAGGGGGCUAGCGUUAUCCGGAUUUACUGGGCGUAAAGGGUGCGUAGGUGGUCUUUCAAGUCGGUGGUUAAAGGCUACGGCUCAACCGUAGUUAGCCUCCGAAACUGGAAGACUUGAGUGCAGGAGAGGAAAGUGGAAUUCCCAGUGUAGCGGUGAAAUGCGUAGAUAUUGGGAGGAACACCAGUAGCGAAGGCGGCUUUCUGGACUGCAACUGACACUGAGGCACGAAAGCGUGGGUAGCAAACAGGAUUAGAUACCCUGGUAGUCCACGCUGUAAACGAUGAGUGUUAGGUUCUUGGAAUAAUCUGGGAGCCGCAGCUAACGCAUUAAACACUCCGCCUGGGGAGUACGCACGCAAGUGUGAAACUCAAAGGAAUUGACGGGGACCCGCACAAGUAGCGGAGCAUGUGGUUUAAUU
rnacentral:rRNA from 1 species